rnacentral:rRNA from 1 species
UACGGAGGGGGACUAGCGUUGUUCGGAAUUACUGGGCGUAAAGCGCACGUAGGCGGAUUUGUAAGUCAGGGGUGAAAUCCCGGGGCUCAACCCCGGAACUGCCUUUGAUACUGGUAGUCUCGAGUCCGGAAGAGGUGAGUGGAAUUCCGAGUGUAGAGGUGAAAUUCGUAGAUAUUCGGAGGAACACCAGUGGCGAAGGCGGCUCACUGGUCCGGUACUGACGCUGAGGUGCGAAAGCGUGGGGAGCAAACAGG